GACGAACGCUGGCGGCGUGCUUAACACAUGCAAGUCGAACGGUAAGGCCCUUCGGGGUACACGAGUGGCGAACGGGUGAGUAACACGUGGGUGAUCUGCCCUGCACUUCGGGAUAAGCCUGGGAAACUGGGUCUAAUACCGGAUAGGACCCUGGGAUGCAUGUCCUGGGGUGGAAAGCUUUUGCGGUGUGGGAUGGGCCCGCGGCCUAUCAGCUUGUUGGUGGGGUGAUGGCCUACCAAGGCGACGACGGGUAGCCGGCCUGAGAGGGUGACCUGCCACACUGGGACUGAGAUACGGCCCAGACUCCUACGGGAGGCAGCAGUGGGGAAUAUUGCACAAUGGGCGCAAGCCUGAUGCAGCGACGCCGCGUGAGGGAUGACGGCCUUCGGGUUGUAAACUUCUUUCAGCACCGACGAAGCGCAAGUGACGGUAGGCGCAGAAGAAGGACCGGCCAACUACGCGCCAGCCGCCGCCGUAA
rnacentral:rRNA from 1 species